rnacentral:rRNA from 1 species
UACGUAGGGUGCGAGCGUUGUCCGGAAUUAUUGGGCGUAAAGAGCUCGUAGGCGGUGUGUCACGUCGGCCGUGAAAACCUGGGGCUUAACUCUGGGCGUGCGGUCGAUACGGGCAUCACUAGAGUUCGGCAGGGGAGACUGGAAUUCCUGGUGUAGCGGUGAAAUGCGCAGAUAUCAGGAGGAACACCGGUGGCGAGGGCGGGUCUCUGGGCCGAUACUGACGCUGAGACGCGAAAGCGUGGGGAGCGAACAGG